ensembl:scaRNA
AAUGGAGGCGUAAGAAGGUAGAGUCUGGAAGGUGAGACUCUGCUUAUACUAUCCUCCUAGAAAAAGGGGAUGGAGAGAGCAGUCCUACUGGCAGAGAAGCAAAGGACUGACUGCGUCAUCCAACACUG